GUUCAACACGGCGCAAACGUCCUACCAAUAGCAUUUCCGUGAACUUGCUUGAGGAAGAUUAGUUUUCGACUCUUGAGCGGAAAGGGCGAGUGUUGAAUGCUUGAAAUUUGAAAAUGAUACUACAGGUAACUAACCUGGUUGUGUCGGGUCGAAACAGUUCGUACACUUUGUAAUGCAAAUUACAACCCACCUAGCUAAUGCAAAACUGUUUUUUCACGCCGGACAAGGCGCCACACUUCUCGGCUCACCUAGAGGUGAUACUAAUUCGCCAAUAAAUACUUGUUUGACGAGCUUAGAGCUAAUCGUACAUUUUACCAUUUUAUAUGCGCAUUUUUGUUGUUUUAUUUGACACGACCUACCAUAUAGGAGAACAGGACGAUACCUACCUAUGAACAAUUUUGUAAAUAAAAAUUGUUUCACAAAUAUUGGCACAACAGUUUGAAUGUAAUGUCAUUAGGAUUGUCGAAAUGUUGAAUAAAUAUACAGACUGAGUCA